CCCUUCUGGUCCCGCACAUCAGCGUCGUCCACUUUAAACCGCCCAGAACCCUAGACGUACGACGGUGCAGCGUCGUCCUCUCCCAGCCGCCUCCUCUUCUCCCUCGACCUCGCUCCUCUCGCGCCGCCCGCCUCCUCUUCUCCUUCCUUUCUGUGACUCUGGAUCGGGUGCGCAGUCGCCGCCGUUUAUGUCCGCACAGCCGACCAGCUUCGCGGUGCCCGGAGCACCUCCUGAGUUCGUCCUCCCUUCCUUGCAGCCCUGCUCUCAUUAGGGAAGGACGGAUCCAUUCACCCCCUCGCCCGGCAUCGCUCGGUGAACAAGACAGACGAAAUUGAUGUGCGUUUCCUCUCCUCUCGCCCAACGAAGGCGGAAGAUGCAAGCGGUGGCUCCUCACCUAGCCGUACGGUGAUGGAUUCAAUGGAGAAGAGGAAGCAUGUUCCCUCCAUUACCUGGAAGUGAGUAUGCAAGAUAACUUCAAGCAAAGUGUACAGAGGCUGCAGCUGAAGCUGGAUUUUGAAGGUUGCAAGUUGGUGGGUCAUCAGUUAUUAUUAGGUUCAAUCCCCUUUGCCAUGUAAUAUUGUGGCGACAUUGUCUCUUUUGUAUAAUUGUGCACGCAGGAUUCUAUUGGAACAAUCACUGAAAAUGAUGAGAGAGUUUGUCUCACAUGUGCUGCUCACUGAUGAGAAGUAGAUUGAAGUGAAUCGUGCUAGAGAAGAAGGAGCGGUCGGGAAAGUACACCAGUGAUGCCCUGCAAGUCGAGCAACAGGAAGCUAAGGAGAUGCUCAGUGUAAUCCCUGAGAAGCAAAGAGCGAACCAAAGAACAUGUCCGCUUCAAGGGUGCACCAGGAGUAGUCUGAUGAUAAGGCUGAAGCUAUUUCAGCAACUGUUGAAGGAAAGAAUGAUAAGGCUGACCAGUGUUAGAUGACCAAGACCAAAAACAAAAGAAUAACUUCUAAAAAAGGAGCUCUACUACUGGAAAGGGGGAAGGGAUAUUAAAGAAAUCAAGACAGUGACUACUCUGCGCCAGCUAUGCAGAGAUUAAUUACCUAUAGGUUACCUAUCCUAUAAUAUUAGCUUCUCCUCGAUUGACAUCUCAAGAGGAAAACGGUCAUUCAUGCAACUAGGCUCACCAUCAACAACGCUCCGCUACAAUGCUCUUUGACCAGCUUCAAGAGAGUCUCUUAAUGCGUCUGCUACUUGCAUGAACAAAGCCACGACCAGGAAUUAUGUAACCAGUGAACUGAAUGCUCCUUAUUAAGCAUGCUCUAAAACUAGAGUCUUUGGCUGCUCAGGUAGCUAUCUCAAAGCAAAGCAAAAACAAAAACUCCCGUAUAUUAUGAAGUGAACUCUAGCUUAUUGUGCAUGUGUUGCUUGACUAUGGUUCGUCUUUCUAUGCGUGAUAUGCUGCUCCAUAGCCUA